GCCGGGAUGGCUGAGUGGACAAAAGCGCGGGCCUUGAGAGCCCGUGGGCCCCUGAGGCCCUCGAGGGUUCGAAUCCCUCUCCCGGCGCCA
rnacentral:tRNA from 1 species